AACGCCACGAAGAACGCCAUCAGCGUCAUUUGGGGGGCCGCGUUGGACGCCUGGAGAUCCGCCGCGAUCGCCGGCAGCGCGGGCAGAUACAUGUCAAUGGCAAAGGGCCCGAUCGCGGACAGCAGGCCGAGCACGAUCGCGUUCCUGGCAAAGCUUGAUGAUGUAGAAGACAUGGCGUGACGUAUCCUGAGUAUUGUUGUCGUUUGUGUGAGCGGACGCGA
rnacentral:misc_RNA from 1 species